rnacentral:rRNA from 1 species
UACGUAGGGUGCGAGCGUUGUCCGGAAUUAUUGGGCGUAAAGGGUGCGCAGGCGGCGGUUCGCGUGGCGAGAUGAAAUCUCCUGGCUUACCUGGGAGGAUGGUCGCCAGACGGGAUCGCUUGAGGGUCGGAGAGGGGCGUGGAAUUCCGGGUGGAGCGGUGAAAUGCGUAGAGAUCCGGAGGAACACCGACGGCGUAGGCAGCGCCCUAGACGACACCUGACGCUGAGGCACGAAAGCUGGGGGAGCGAACAGG